rnacentral:rRNA from 1 species
GAUGAACGCUAGCGGCAGGCCUAAUACAUGCAAGUCGAACGGUGUAGCAAUACACAGUGGCGCACGGGUGCGUAACACGUAUGCAACCUACCUUACAUUGGGGGAUAGCCUUUCGAAAGGGAGAUUAAUACCGCAUAAGACAGUAACUAGGCAUCUAGUAGCUGUUAAAGAUUUAUCGAUGUAAGCUGGGCAUGCGUCCAAUUAGUUAGUUGGCGAGGUAAUGGCUCACCAAGACGAUGAUUGGUAGGGGAACUGAGAGGUCAAUUUUCCACACUGGCACGGAGAUACGGGCCAGACUCCUACGGGAGGCAGCAGUAGGGAAUAUUGGGCAAUGGGCGCAAGCCUGACCCAGCCAUGCCGCGUGCAGGAAGAAGGCGUUAUGCGUUGUAAACUGCUUUUAUACAGGAAGAAACGACCCUUGCGAGGGGCAUUGACGGUACUGUAUGAAUAAGCAUUGGCUAACUUCGUGCCAGCCGCCGCCGUAAAAC